rnacentral:rRNA from 1 species
CUGCAACUCGCCUGCACGAAGUCGGAAUUGCUAGUAAUCGUGGAUCAGCAUGCCACGGUGAAUACGUUCCCGGGUCUUGUACACACCGCCCGUCACACCAUGGGAGCUGGUAACACCCGAAGUCAGUAGUCUAACCGCAAGGAGGACGCUGCCGAAGGUGGGAUUAGCGACUGGGGUGAAGUCGUAACAAGGUAUC